ACGGCGCUAAUUCACAAAUCAGAUUCCUGCAGUCAAAGAUUUCAUGUUGUCCGAGUAUAGAUAACAAGUGGCGGCCCAUGUGUGUUCCCUGGAUUCAGCAGAACCAGCCUUAUAAGGAAAAUGAUAUGUGUAUGAUUAGAGGCAAGGCAAGGACCGCCCCUCCUCUGCUCAAGGCUCCAUUCGCUUUGGGCGAUGCAUCUCAUUGUAUACGUACACCGAAUUCACACAACGCUGUCGGUGCAUACAGCAAAUAUAGUGAUUGCAGGAGUUAAUUUAUCACCUUAAAUCUUAAGAAUAAUAAGAACCCGUAGAAAUUUCGGUUUUAGAAAUUUAAUAUUUAUUCGCUAUUUUGCCAUUCGCCGUUUGCACUGACAAUGUUUUUAGUUAUAAUGUUCUAUCAAAGAAUCUCUUUGCUUGGAGUCAAUCAGCCUCGUCAAUAAAUAGACACACAUGUUCCUACGAAGGCUCA